AUCCCAGUAGCUCAGGUGGACAGAGCACGGCACUACGAAUGCCGGGGUCCCUGGUUCGAGUCCAGGUUGGGAUG
rnacentral:tRNA from 1 species